GCUGAGGUAAGCCACUGGACAACUGAAGACAUCCAAGGGAGAAGAUGAUCUUCCUCACCCCGCUGCUCCUCUUCCUCGCCUCCUGUGUCUCUGGAACAUUUGUAGUGAAUGUGACUCAGGCUUCCUAUCAGGCAGAGGAGAACCAGAACAUCACCCUGGAGUGGACCUUCAGCACCAGAAGAGAUACUUCACUCAACUCCAUUUCUAUCGUCUGUGAUCUAGUAUCUGUCAGGCCCUACAACUUGCUUCAUCUAUACAAAGGCAUUGAACUCCCAGAGUCUCAGGAUCCAGAGUUUGCAGGACGAGUCCAAUGGGACAAAGACGUCCUCACAGAAGGACGCCUCACACUUCAUGUCUCCAGACUCAGGACCAGUGACUCUGGGUUUUAUAUAUGCAAAGUGUUCACUGAUUAUGGACGGAACAAUGGGAGAUGCUGUUUGAAUGUGACUGCUGCUGAAGAGCUUGAACCUCAGAGACCAAGAGAGUCCACAAUUUUGCUGUAAGGUCAAUCAUCUGUUCUCUGUUUACUGACGGAUAUUGUUACCAUGCUCUGCCUUUAAAGUACAUUUUUGUCACAUAUUGGGAAUCAAUCCCUUUUCCUAUGAGAGAAAUUGUGACAUUUCUGUGUGUAAAUAUGUUGAAUUCAGUAAAUGCUCAUGUUAGGUCAUGUAUUACAGGUGUUAGAGGGAAUAAUUAAUGACUGUCUUUGGUCAUAACAACAUUGAAUUACCUCCAGAGGACAAUAACAAGAACAACAAUAAAACUAUAAAUGAUCUUAAGUGGUGUUUUGUGUUUCUUUCCUGAUUGGUUUCUGCUACAGUCUCUUCAUACAGCAUAUAAGUAAAU